rnacentral:rRNA from 1 species
AGAGUUUGAUCCUGGCUCAGAACGAACGCUGGCGGCAGGCUUAACACUUGCAAGUCGAACGCGUGUAGCAAUACACGAGUGGUGCACGGGUGAGUAACGCGUGGAUAUCUGCCUUUUGGUUCGGAAUAACCCCGGGAAACUGGGGCUAAUACCGGAUGGUUCCUUCGGGAUAAAGAUUUAUCGCCAAAAGAUGAGUCCGCGUACGAUUAGCUAGUUGGUGAGGUAAUGGCUCACCAAGGCGACGAUCGUUAGCUGGUCUGAGAGGACGAUCAGCCACACUGGGACUGAGACACGGCCCAGACUCCUACGGGAGGCAGCAGUGGGGAAUAUUGGACAAUGGGGGCAACCCUGAUCCAGCCAUGCCGCGUGAGUGAUGAAGGCCUUCGGGUUGUAAAGCUCUUUUGGCGGGGACGAUGAUGACGGUACCCGCAGAAUAAGCCCCGGCUAACUUCGUGCCAGCAGCCGCGGUAAGACGAAGGGGGCUAGCGUUGUUCGGAAUUACUGGGCGUAAAGCGAGUGUAGGUGGUUGUCCAAGUUGGAUGUGAAAGCCUUGAGCUCAACUCAAGAAAUGCAUUCAGGACUGGGCGGCUAGAGGACCGGAGAGGAUAGUGGAAUUCCCAGUGUAGUGGUGAAAUACGUAGAGAUUGGGAAGAACACCAGUGGCGAAGGCGGCUAUCUGGACGGUUUCUGACACUAAGACUCGAAAGCGUGGGGAGCAAACAGGAUUAGAUACCCUAGUAGUCC